UCUCUCUCUCUCUCUCUCUCUCUCUCUCUCUCUCUCGCUCUCUCUCGCCCAACCCCGCACCACUUGAUUUUCUCUAGGCAGCACGGAACAGACGGCGGUGGCGCCACCGUUUCAGCUUUCAGUUACCGGCAACGAGGGUGGAGACAGCCAGUCACCGCCAUAAACGAGUAAUCGAGCACGUUCUUGACACCAUAGACGGUCGAUGAGGGCAGUGGAGAGAGGGGUGAAGGUGUUGGCGUUGAUGAAGGUGCCCGAGAUCGAGCAGAACAUUGUCGUUUUCCCAAUCAGUUACCCAUCAUAGAAAAAAUACAAUAGAAGAAAUUGAAGAAAAAAUCAGUGAGAUGAAAAGAAGCAGACAGAAAUUCAACAAAUGAAGAAAUUUCUGAGAUGCAUAAGGUAAUCGAUGACGUGGGCAGUGGUCGAUUUUCCUUCUCUAGCUGUUGUGAUUGCUGCUGAUGUUGAUUCGACUUCGAGUUAGGGUUUUGAUUAUUUUGAGUAGAAUUAGGGUUAGGGGUAGGCUUCAGAUUUGGGGUUUGUUGAUGAUGUUUUUGUUCGGGGUUGAGGGAGCAAUGCGGAAGGUCAAGAGGCUGGAGGUGGGCGUCGAUGUUGGAAGGGAAACAAGAGAUGGUUGUUGUUUCUGUUGUUGUUGUUGGAAUUGUUGAAGGAGGAGUUGCUACUUGUUGUGCUAUUGAUGCUGCUGUUGAUGUUGCUGCUGCUGUUGAUGCUACUGCUACUAUUGUAGCAUCACCUGGCUAGAUUGAGUUUUAGGGUUGGAGAAAGAAAUGGCUCUUUGGCCUUGCAGAUUUGUGUUUUUGCAGAGGGCAAAUUCGUAACUUUAUGCAUCUCCGUUACGGAAGUCAGAUGGAUAAGGAUUUUUAUUAGUUAGAGGGGGU